rnacentral:rRNA from 1 species
AUGAACGCUAGCUACAGGCUUAACACAUGCAAGUCGAGGGGCAGCAUGGUCUUAGCUUGCUAAGGCCGAUGGCGACCGGCGCACGGGUGAGUAACGCGUAUCCAACCUGCCUUACACUCUUGGACAGCCUUCUGAAAGGGAGAUUAAUACAAGAUGUUAUCAUGAGUAAGCAUUUUCGCAUGAUUAAAGGUUUACCGGUGUAAGAUGGGGAUGCGUUCCAUUAGAUAGUAGGCGGGGUAACGGCCCACCUAGUCUUCGAUGGAUAGGGGUUCUGAGAGGAAGGUCCCCCACAUUGGAACUGAGACACGGUCCAAACUCCUACGGGAGGCAGCAGUGAGGAAUAUUGGUCAAUGGACGAGAGUCUGAACCAGCCAAGUAGCGUGAAGGAUGAAGGUUCUAUGGAUUGUAAACUUCUUUUAUACGGGAAUAAACGAAUCCACGCGUGGAUUUUUGCAUGUACCGUAUGAAUAAGGAUCGGCUAACUCCGUGCCAGCAGCCGCGGUAAUACGGAGGAUCCGAGCGUUAUCCGGAUUUAUUGGGUUUAAAGGGAGCGUAGAUGGGUUGUUAAGUCAGUUGUGAAAGUUUGCGGCUCAACCGUAAAAUUGCAAUUGAUACUGGCAGUCUUGAGUACAGUUGAGGUAGGCGGAAUUCGUGGUGUAGCGGUGAAAUGCUUAGAUAUCACGAAGAACUCCGAUUGCGAAGGCAGCUUACUAACCUGUAACUGACAUUGAUGCUCGAAAGUGUGGGUAUCAAACAGGAUUAGAUACCCUGGUAGUCCACACGGUAAACGAUGAAUACUCGCUGUAGGCGAUAUACAGUCUGCGGCCAAGCGAAAGCAUUAAGUAUUCCACCUGGGGAGUACGCCGGCAACGGUGAAACUCAAAGGAAUUGACGGGGGCCCGCACAAGCGGAGGAACAUGUGGUUUAAUUCGAUGAUACGCGAGGAACCUUACCCGGGCUUGAAUUGCAGAGGAAGGAUUUGGAGACAAUGACGCCCUUCGGGGCCUCUGUGAAGGUGCUGCAUGGUUGUCGUCAGCUCGUGCCGUGAGGUGUCGGCUUAAGUGCCAUAACGAGCGCAACCCUUGCCGAUAGUUACUAACAGGUCAUGCUGAGGACUCUGUCGGGACUGCCAUCGUAAGAUGUGAGGAAGGUGGGGAUGACGUCAAAUCAGCACGGCCCUUACGUCCGGGGCUACACACGUGUUACAAUGGGGGGUACAGAGGGCUGCUACCACGCAAGUGGAUGCCAAUCCCAAAAACCUCUCUCAGUUCGGAUUGAAGUCUGCAACCCGACUUCAUGAAGCUGGAUUCGCUAGUAAUCGCGCAUCAGCCACGGCGCGGUGAAUACGUUCCCGGGCCUUGUACACACCGCCCGUCACACCAUGAGAGUUGGGAAUACCCGAAGCCUGUGAGCCAACUAUUUAUAGAGGCAGCAGUCGAAGGUAGAAUCAAUGAUUGGGGUG